rnacentral:rRNA from 1 species
AACGAACGCUGGCGGCGUGGAUAAGACAUGCAAGUCGAACGGAUCAUCAUGAGUAGCAAUAUGAGUGAUGGUUAGUGGCGAACGGGUGCGUAACACGUGGAUACAUUCCGGAAAGCGGGGGAUAGCCCAGGGAAACUUGGAUUAAUACCGCAUGUGGUCGAGAGACUAAAGACGGGGAUCGCAAGACCUGUCACUUUCCGAUUGGUCCGCGGCCUAUCAGCUAGGUGGCGGGGUAAAAGCCCACCAAGGCGACGACGGGUAGCUGGUCUUAGAGGACGACGAGCCACACUGGAACUGAGACACGGUCCAGACACCUACGGGUGGCAGCAGUCGAGAAUCUUUCACAAUGGGGGCAACCCUGAUGGAGCGACGCCGCGUGGAGGAUAAGGUCUUCGGAUUGUAAACUCCUGUCAUGCGUGAACAAGGCUGUUCAGUUAAUACCUGGGCAGAUUGAUGGUAGCGCAAGAGGAAGAGACGGCUAACUCUGUGCCAGCAGCCGCGGUAACAC